AAAUUGAAGAGUUUGAUCAUGGCUCAGAUUGAACGCUGGCGGCAGGCCUAACACAUGCAAGUCGAACGGUAACAGAAAGCAGCUUGCUGCUUUGCUGACGAGUGGCGGACGGGUGAGUAAUGUCUGGGAAACUGCCUGAUGGAGGGGGAUAACUACUGGAAACGGUAGCUAAUACCGCAUAACGUCGCAAGACCAAAGAGGGGGACCUUCGGGCCUCUUGCCAUCGGAUGUGCCCAGAUGGGAUUAGCUAGUAGGUGGGGUAAAGGCUCACCUAGGCGACGAUCCCUAGCUGGUCUGAGAGGAUGACCAGCCACACUGGAACUGAGACACGGUCCAGACUCCUACGGGAGGCAGCAGUGGGGAAUAUUGCACAAUGGGCGCAAGCCUGAUGCAG
rnacentral:rRNA from 1 species